rnacentral:rRNA from 1 species
AUGACGCAAUUGCUUCCGAUUGCUUUGAGGGGGCUCCUGCCGGAAAAUGUUCGAGUAGCCAUUGUGAAGCUAUGUGCAUUCCUCAAUGCAAUCUCUCAGAAGGUAAUCAAUCCAGAAGUUCUACCACGGUUACAGAACGAUGUGAUCCAAUGUCUUGUCAGUUUCGAGUUGGUGUUCCCGCCAUCCUUCUUCAAUAUUAUGACGCACCUCCUGGUUCACCUAGUCGAAGAGAUUUUCGUUCUCGGUCCUGUAUUUCUACACAAUAUGUUCCCCUUCGAGAGGUUCAUGGGAGUAUUAAAGAAAUAUGUUCGUAACCGUGCUAGGCCAGAAGGAAGCAUCGCCAAGGGCUGA